rnacentral:piRNA from 1 species
UCAAUUCAAUGUAUUGUAUGAAGGAAUG